CCUACGGGAGGCAGCAGUGGGGGAUAUUGCACAAUGGGGGGAACCCUGAUGCAGCGACGCCGCGUGGGUGAAGGAGCGUUUCGGCGCGUAAAGCCCUAUCGGCAGGGAAGAAGGAGGACGGUACCUGACCAAGAAGCCCCGGCUAACUACGUGCCAGCAGCCGCGGUAAUACGUAGGGGGCAAGCGUUAUCCGGAUGUACUGGGUGUAAAGGGGGCGCAGACGGCAGCGCAAGCCAGGAGUGAAAGCCCGGGGCCCAACCCCGGGACUGCUCUUGGAACUGGGCGGCUGGAGUGCAGGAGGGGCAGGCGGAAGUCGUGGUGUAGCGGUGAAAUGCGUAGAUAUCAGGAGGAACCCCGAUGGCGAAGGCGGCCUGCUGGACUGCGACUGACGUUGAGGCCCGAAAGCGUGGGGAGCAAACAGGAUUAGAUACCCCUGUAGUC
rnacentral:rRNA from 1 species